rnacentral:rRNA from 1 species
CCUACGGGAGGCAGCAGUCGAGAAUCAUUCACAAUGGGGGAAACCCUGAUGGUGCGACGCCGCGUGGGGGAAUGAAGGUCUUCGGAUUGUAAACCCCUGUCAUGUGGGAGCAAAUUAAAAAGAUAGUACCACAAGAGGAAGAGACGGCUAACUCUGUGCCAGCAGCCGCGGUAAUACAGAGGUCUCAAGCGUUGUUCGGAAUCACUGGGCGUAAAGCGUGCGUAGGCUGUUUCGUAAGUCGUGUGUGAAAGGCGCGGGCUCAACCCGCGGACGGCACAUGAUACUGCGAGACUAGAGUAAGGGAGGGGGAACCGGAACGCUCGGUGUAGCAGUGAAAUGCGUAGAUAUCGAGAGGAACACUCGUGGCGAAGGCGGGUUCCUGGACAUUAACUGACGCUGAGGCACGAAGGCCAGGGGAGCGAAAGGGAUUAGAUACCCCAGUAGUC